CCUGCUUCCACGGCAGUGUCCUUAGACUAGGAUCAGGUGUAGCAUCUGUUCUUAUUGGUAUAAUACCUGAUCCAUCCUCAGUUUGAAGCCUUUAUAUUAAAUGGGAUUGGAAGAUGCACUAGGAGCUUGCUCCACACAUCAAACUGGCGGUGUGCUUUCUCUAAGCAUCCAAGCAGAUGCCUAGA
rfam:Phoenicopterus ruber ruber contig31817, whole genome shotgun sequence.